rnacentral:rRNA from 1 species
AUUGAACGCUGGCGGCAUGCCUUACACAUGCAAGUCGAACGGCAGCACGGGAGCAAUCCUGGUGGCGAGUGGCGAACGGGUGAGUAAUAUAUCGGAACGUGCCCAGUCGUGGGGAUAACGUAGCGAAAGCUACGCUAAUACCGCAUACGAUCUAUGGAUGAAAGCGGGGGAUCGCAAGACCUCGCGCGAUUGGAGCGGCCGAUAUCAGAUUAGGUAGUUGGUGAGGUAAAGGCUCACCAAGCCGACGAUCUGUAGCUGGUCUGAGAGGACGACCAGCCACACUGGGACUGAGACACGGCCCAGACUCCUACGGGAGGCAGCAGUGGGGAAUUUUUGGGACAAUGGGCGCAAGCCUGAUCCAGCAAUGCCGCGUGCAGGAUGAACGGUCCUAUGGAUUGUAAACUGCUUUUAUACAGGAAGAAACACUCCGACGUGUCGGAGCUUGACGGUACUGUAAGAAUAAGGAUCGGCU